rnacentral:misc_RNA from 1 species
GGUGAAUUGAGAUAUUGUGCAUGUUAAAAGUGUGCAUUAUUUGGGGAACAGAGAUAGAAAUCGAGAAUGAGUACUUAGCUGGAGCUAUAGACAAGUUUAGGCUUAGUUGAUUAAGUGAUUUGCCUUCUCGUUGCUUUGAAAUUUAUUAUUCAAAAUCUUAGUUUGUGGGAUCUGAAAAGUGAAAUAUACAUUAGUUUGUGACUUCUGCUUGAUGGUGGGUUAGUUUAUGGCUCCCUUUUGAUUUCAAAGCUAUAUAUCGGUUUGCUUUGUCUGGUACCUGGGAAAAAGAAGGUGAAAGAAAUAAGGUAAGAAAUCUCCUGUAAAUUUUGGAUAGCCAAA